rnacentral:rRNA from 1 species
GACGAACGCUGGCGGCGUGCUUAACACAUGCAAGUCGAACGAUGAAGCCAGCUUGCUGGUGGAUUAGUGGCGAACGGGUGAGUAACACGUGGGUGAUCUGCCCCAAACUUUGGGAUAAGCCUGGGUAACUGGGACUAAUACCGAAUAUGACUGAUACGCUCAUCGGCGUUGUUGGAAAGCCCCGGCGGGUUGGGCUGGGCCCGCGGCCUAUCAGCUUGUUGGUGGGGUAAUUGCCUACCAAGGCGACGACGGGUAGCCGGCCUGAGAGGGCGACCGGCCACACUGGGACUGAGAGACGGCCCAGAAUCCUACGGGAGGCAGCAGGGGGGAAUAUGGCACAAUGGGGGCAAGCCUGAUGCAGCGACGCCGCGUGAGGGAUGACGGCCUUCGGGUUGUAAACAUCUUUCACCAGGGACGAAGCGAAAGUGACGGUACCUGGAGAAGAAGCACCGGCCAACUACGUG